rnacentral:rRNA from 1 species
GUGCCAGCCGCCGCGGUAAUACGGAGGGUGCAAGCGUUAAUCGGAAUUACUGGGCGUAAAGCGCGCGUAGGUGGCCUGAUAAGCCGGUUGUGAAAGCCCUGGGCUCAACCUAGGAACGGCAUCCGGAACUGUCAGGCUAGAGUGCAGGAGAGGAAGGUAGAAUUCCCGGUGUAGCGGUGAAAUGCGUAGAGAUCGGGAGGAAUACCAGUGGCGAAGGCGGCCUUCUGGACUGACACUGACACUGAGGUGCGAAAGCGUGGGUAGCAAACAGGAUUAGAAACCCGAGUAGUCC